GAUGAAGAACGUAGCGAAAUGCGAUACGUAAUGUGAAUUGCAGAAUUCAGUGAAUCAUCGAGUCUUUGAACGCACAUUGCGCCCCCUGGUAUUCCGGGGGGCAUGCCUGUCCGAGCGUCAUUGCUGCCCUCAAGCACGGCUUGUGUGUUGGGCCUCCGUCCUCCUCUCGGGGGACGGGCCCGAAAGGCAGCGGCGGCACCGCGUCCGGUCCUCGAGCGUAUGGGGCUUCGUCACCCGCUCUUGUAGGCCCGGCCGGCGCUUGCCGACACAUCAAUCUUUUUUCCAGGUUGACCUCGGAUCAGGUAGGGAUACCCGCUGAACUUAAGCAUAUCAAUAAGCGGAGGA
rnacentral:misc_RNA from 1 species